CUUUGAGAUAAAAAUAAAUAUUUUAUUUUCAAGGGAUUUAACUAUCCCCUCAAACC
rnacentral:tRNA from 1 species